rnacentral:lncRNA from 1 species
ACUACAUGUACCUUUUACUCCAGAAAAGAAAUAAAGGAGAGAAAACCUUAACAAAAAAUUGACACAUGAGGUGUUAAAGAUGACACAUGAGGUGUUAAAGAUCAAGAAAAAGUUUUGACAUAUGAGGUGUUGAAGAUCUGGAAGACAAUGACAAGCGAGAACUUAACCUAUUAGCAUACUCAUCUUCAUGCUUAUUCCCAUGUAUAUGAAGCUAAGUAAAACAAAAUUUAAGAAAGGGGAAGGAAGAAGAAUAAGAAGC